CGACCCAAUCUCUUCUUCUGCUUCUGCCUUCGUUAAAUCGUCAGACCUUUGCUCCUCUUAACCAAGAAAUCAGCAACAUGGGUUCUCUCAGGCAGCUAUGGUUAUUGAGAAGAAGACCCUUUUCAGUUUGGAAAUCUCUGACAUCGAUAUCAAUUUCAACAAAGAACUCAUUUUUAUCUUCCUAUUUGGCAAAUAAUUCUCUGCACCUUCUUAAACCCUGUGUUCUUGGCCCUAAACCCUCUGUCUAUAGCAGCAAUUGUAGAAGCUUCUGUUCACGUUCCAAUUCCUUCAUUGAUAAAUCUCAAGGCCCUGCCGCCAUUGAUUACCACUCUAUGUUGCAGGAAGAUGAGUAUCAAAAGUUGGCUAAUUCAACAAUCCAUGAUCUAUUAGAGAAGUUAGAGGAAUAUGGUGAUUCCGUUGAUAUUGAUGGUUAUGACAUAGAUUAUGGGAAUGAGGUUCUAACGGUGAAGUUUGGCGACUUGGGAACCUAUGUCAUAAACAAACAAACACCAAAUAGACAAAUUUGGAUGUCAUCUCCAGUCAGGAUAAGGAUAAAAACUCAAGUAAAUUGUCAAAUCUGGAUGUUUGGUAAGGGCUGGUUGUAAGACCUUGAAGUAUAACGGUCACUUUGGUCUUUGUUUGUAUGUGCUGUAUCAGCAUAUUCUUUAUCUCUCUCUCGCUCUGUGUGUGCAUGCGUGCGGACGUGUGUGUGCACUCGCGUGCGUUUGCAUUGUGGAACGACGAGAAUGACCUGCAUCUUCGUUAUCUUCAAGCUACCUAAACAACUGUGGCAUACAAGUUACUUUUGACAUCAGUGCCCUAUAGUUGCUCUUGGACUUCCGACAACUGUUCUUUCAAUUUUUCAUUUCCUCGGUCACUAGUGGUUUCCCAGCGGCCCUUCAAGAUUUGAUUGGGAUCAAGAUACUCAAGCUUGGGUUUACCGACGAACAAAGGCAAACCUGUUGGAUAUCUUAGAGGAGGAGUUGGAACAACUUUGCGGCAAACCUAUAAAUCUCUCUUAAAAGAACUUGGCUCAGCUGUGACUUGAUAAUUCUUUUCCCUCUUUUCUGAUAAGGAGGCUUGGGGAACUUGGAGAAGUGACAGACUAACUGUGUAUAUCUACAUGAAUUUCUUCACUUUGUUAUGGGCUUGACACUUAAUAAAAGUUUCACUUGGAAAACCAAAAGAGUUAAAUCAAAAUGUACUGAAAUGAAUAGGAUUUUCAUUCGAAAUUUAUUUUCCUUACUCUUCCGU